rnacentral:rRNA from 1 species
GUGAGGAAUAUUGGGCAAUGGGCGCAAGCCUGACCCAGCCAUGCCGCGUGCAGGAAGACGGUCCUAUGGAUUGUAAACUGCUUUUAUACGGGAAGAAACACUCCCUCGUGAGGGAGCUUGACGGUACCGUAAGAAUAAGGAUCGGCUAACUCCGUGCCAGCAGCCGCGGUAAUACGGAGGAUCCAAGCGUUAUCCGGAAUCAUUGGGUUUAAAGGGUCCGUAGGCGGCCUUAUAAGUCAGUGGUGAAAUCCCAUCGCUCAACGAUGGAACUGCCAUUGAUACUGUAAGGCUUGAAUAAUUGUGAAGUAACUAGAAUAUGUAGUGUAGCGGUGAAAUGCUUAGAUAUUACAUGGAAUACCAAUUGCGAAGGCAGGUUACUAACAAUUGAUUGACGCUGAUGGACGAAAGCGUGGGGAGCGAACAGGAUUAGAAACCCUGGUAGUCC